UUCCAGUCCUCAGGCCCCCCUGCUCUGCAUGUUUUAGAUGUGCCUCUAUUCCAGAACAGCUGAUCCAAAUGAUUGCAUAACCUCUUCUGCAGCCGAAGAGGGUCUAGAGAGAUCAGGAGAUCACGCGAGAUUAUGGAAGAUCACACAAUAUAACUGUUUUGCGCCUGGGAAAACUCCAAGGCGGUUUUAGUUACACAUUAAACUAUAGAUAUUUGUAUUUCUCUGCAGGGCACUACUGGCACUUAAGAACUGCACUGUAACAAAUGGCUGUAAAACGUACAGCAUGAAAAUACAGUAAGGUGGCUGAGUUUUGAAAAUACAGCUUUUUAUUGUGAUCUGAAAUGCCUAUGGAAAGUAUAUGGGACGUGAAAUUUGUUCGUAGAUCUCUUCUGCAGAAUGCAUGAAGGUUGAAAAUUUGUCCUUUAUGAUCAUUUCAGUCAAGUUGUUUCAAAUAUUACCAGGCAGCUGAUUCAAGAUCGACAAAAUUGAUCAUGAAUUAUUGUUAAGUGAUUAAAAAAAGCAUUUUAUUACUUGCUCAUCUGUUCCUGCAUUGCAGUUUUACAGGAUGCAGGAUCGUAUUAAAUUUCUGAUGCCCUCUUUGGGUGCACAUCAGUAACUGAAGCUUUUAGUUUUGGGUUCCCUCCCCUCUACAUGUUGAAGUUGUUACCAACCCUCCCCAGUUGUCUGAUCAUGAAUGCCUCCGUUCAUGAUCAGACAACUGGGGAUCACAUGCAGAAAUUUACACUUGUACUGUAAAUUUUUUAUGUACAGUUGCAUUGUGGGAUUUUUACCGGCUGUAGGUGAAUGUUGACAGGCUGGAGGGCGGGCCAACAAUGACUUUCACCAGGUAAGUACUUUUUAAAAAACAUUAUGUUGCAGUUUUGUGUUUGUGUACAAAAAUAUAUUUUAUGUGGCUAAAGCUAACUUCGGUUAUUUCUCAGCUAACACAAGUGUGCAACACAAGUGCUUUUAGUUCACCUAGAAUAUGCGGAUGGCUGUAUUCUGGUCUUUUUGCUUAAGUUGUUUGAGGGUAGGAUGCCUCAACUGUUUUUUUGUUUUGUUUUGUUUUUUCUCAUACAUAGGACUGUCAACGUUAACGCGAUUAACCAGAACAUUUUAAUGCGUUAAUAUUACAUAACAGAUCAAUCAAACCAUCUAUUUUGACAUCAGAGCCUCUCUCCCGUUGAGGAUUAUCUAGUUCACAGCAACAUGUUACACACGGGAAGCUACGAACAGCGAAAUACUUUUCCUGCGACUGCAGACAGACAGCAACAAGAGUUGAACAGUUUCAACUUUCUUGUGUUGGGUCUUUAACCAACGUUGUGCACAUCUAGUUUACUAGCCCACAGUUUCAUGUGCAUGAAUUACACCGGUCUUCACCGGCUGGAUGAGGACAAUAUAGUCCCGCUUCAUCACAGGAAAUGAAUAUAGAGGAACAUUUCUAAACCAACAUUUAAAACAAACUGAGUUUCUAUAAACCUUCUUGAAUAUAAAAACCUGGAAAACUAAGAAUCUUUAGACAUGGUUGGUUUGAAACAACAAAACAUCUUUUGAGAAUGUGCAUAUUUGAUAUGGACUUCAUGGUAUCAUAAAAGGGUGGGGCAUCCAAGAACUAGAAAUUAAAAUAGAUCUAAUAAAAUAGAUCUUAUCUAUCAGUUGGCUCCUGAACAUGUUUGGUACCACUUGUAUCCAUGUAUAGUGGAGUAAAUUUCUCUUAGUUUCUAUUGAGUAUGGGAGACUACAAAUGUACAAAUGCAAGAUAAUUGCUUGGAUUUUAAAUUGUUGGCGUGCAGCAAGAGGGGUUUGCACAGCUGUGUGCAUAUUUAUAUUUCAAGCCUACAAAGUUAGGCAUACAUAGUUAUUAAUUGUGAUUAAUCAGCCAGUGCCAGAUUCUGCUAUGGGCAACACGGGCAACCGCCCAGGGCAGCAUCUUGUGGGGGUGACAAGACUGACCUCUCACCCCUCUCACCGCCCCAGAUACUCCAAUUGUCUGUGUCUCACUGUAACUUCCAUCCUUCUGUUCAUAGACUAAUGGAUGAAGACAUAGUGAGAUAUUGCCAUCUUACUGUAUCUGCCAACCUUAUGUCUACACAUAGAAGCACAGAAGGUACAGAAGGUGUCUCUGUCUGCAAACAUAGUAUAUGGAUAGAGACAGAGGAAUGUAUCUGUCUAUGGAAAUGCCUCUGUGUACCAGAGUAUUAAAUUAAAAUUAUAACUAGUAUCAAUGAACAUUGUUAUUUUUCAGGAAACAGCAUCAAGGGCACAAGCAGGUCCAGCAGCGGCUUUUGCCACCUAGAGUAUUGUUUCAUAGGUGAUUCAUAGGCCUCAACCCAGAAAAUGGAACAAAAGCUGCAAACGGAAAAGUGACAUCAACCAACAAGACGACUUAUGCAGAACACAGCAGUGAACCUGCAUGUCUCCAUUCUCCUCCUUCAUGAACCAGUGGAACUUUUAAAAUGGUAAAAUUACACAAUCAGUUCUCUUACUCCAUCUCUCUCCCUGUCUGUCUUUUUCUCUGCCUCUCUCUCUGUAUCUGUUCUGUCCAUUUCUAAUAGACAGACAGGAGGACAGAACAAUGAAGGAAGGUCAGAGAGAGUCUUUCCUUUUCAUCCUGUCUGUGUUUAACUGACAUGAAUGCAGUUUGGAAACUUUGACAUUUGGGUACUUUGCUUUAGUAAAGAUUAUUUAAUUAAUUGUACUCAAUGUCAUAUUAUCAUGAUUGUAAAUGUAUCAGUUAUGUUUUUAGAUCUGACUAUUUUUCACUUUGGUUGCAAUACUUUGACUUUUGUGUAACAAGCAAAUAUUGCUGCUGCAAAAUACUGUAUUUUGUUUUGCUUCAGUUUGUCAGAUUUAAAUUGACAAUAAAAUCAAGUGGUUUUAAAAUAUACAUGUAUGUUUUUUAAAUUAGAAAAAUAAUUUUUUUUGUGAGUUUGGUAAAUUAAGUUGCAAGUUCACAUUUAAACUUUUAAAAGCUAGCAAAGUAUGCAGUUUCAUGAACUACUGAAAAAUGACAACUUUUUGUAAUUGUGACUAGUUUAAAUGCUGUUCAAAUGUGUUGUCAUAUGGCAAGAGUUUAUACCUUUUGUAGUAAAGUGCCUGCACUGCACAUGUAAAAGAAAAUGGAUAACAAUUUUGAAAAUACAGUUUUGUUGUACCUGUUC